GAUGAACGCUAGCGGGAGGCCUAACACAUGCAAGCCGAGCGGUAUUGUUUCUUCGGAAAUGAGAGAGCGGCGUACGGGUGCGUAACACGUGUGCAACCUGCCUUUAUCUGGGGGAUAGCCUUUCGAAAGGAAGAUUAAUACUCCAUAAUAUAUUGAACGGCAUCGUUUAAUAUUGAAAGCUCCGGCGGAUAGAGAUGGGCACGCGCAAGAUUAGCUAGUUGGUGAGGUAACGGCUCACCAAGGCGAUGAUCUUUAGGGGGCCUGAGAGGGUGAUCCCCCACACUGGUACUGCGACACGGACCAGACUCCUACGGGAGGCAGCAGUGAGGAAUAUUGGUCAAUGGGUGCCAGCCUGAACCAGCCAUCCCGCGUGAAGGACGACUGCCCUAUGGGUUGUAAACUUCUUUUGUAUAGGGAUAAACCUACCCUCGAGAGGGUAGCUGAAGGUACUAUACGAAUAAGCACCGGCUAACUCCGUG
rnacentral:rRNA from 1 species